GCACUAGAUACUCAUUGGAGCAUGAACCCUGUUGUGAACUGCUCAUCUGAGGGAUCUAGGUUGUGUGCUUCAUAUGAGAAUCUAAUGCCUGAUGAUAUGUCACUGUCUCACUUUGCCCCCAGAUGAGACCAUCUAGUUGCAGAAAAAUAAGCUCAGAGUUUCCACGGAUUCUACAUUAUGGACGGCCCACAAAUACCUUUCCUGGACUAUAUUAAGGAAACAAAAGCAAACAAAUAUGAGAAAAUAAUAAAGAUUUGAUCUUCAACAAAGCUGACACUGGGGAAAGGACACACUCUUCAAUAAAUGGUGCUGGGAAAAUUGGAUAGCCACAUCCAGAAAAAUGAAACUGGACCACUAUCUCACUAUAUACAAGAAUCAACUCAAAGUAGAUUAAAAACUUAAACAGAAGACCUGAAACUAUAAAAAUACUUGAAGAAAACCUAGGGAAAAAUUUCCUGGCCUUUUGUCUAGGCAAAGAAUUUAUGACUAACACCUCAAAAGCCACAAGCAACACAAAUAAAAAUAGACAAAUGGGACUUAAUUAACUUAGAAAGCUUCUGAGCAGCAGAAGAAAUAAUCAGCAGAGUGAAGAGACAACCUCCUGAAUGGAAGAAAAUAUUUGCAAACUGUUCAUCUAAUAGUGGGCUAAUACCUAGAAUUUACCAAAAACCCAAACAACUCAACAGGAAAAAAAAAUUCCAUUGGAAAGUGGCCAAAGGAUAUAAAUAGACAUUUCUCAAAAGAAGACAUACAAAAGGCCAAAAGAUAUAUGAAAAAAUGCUCAACAUCACUAAUCAUUAUAUAAAUGCAAAUCAAAACCACGAUGAAAUAUUAUUUUCCCCUAGUCAUAAUGACUAUUCCUAAAAACAAAAACAAAAACAAAGCAAAACAAAAUAUAACAGAUUGAAAAAGGAACUCUUCUACACUGUUGGUGGGAAUGUAAACCAGUAUAGCAACUGUAGACAACAUUAUGGCGAUUCCUCACAAAAGUAAAAAUAGAAUCACCAUUGGAAACAGCAAUUUUACUACUGGGUAUUUGCUCAAAGGGGAAAAAAAUCAAUAUACCAAGGGGAUACCUGCACUCGCAUGUUUAUUGCAGUACUUUUCACAAUGCAAAGAUAUGAGACCAACCUAAGUGGGGUUUUGGGCUUAUGAAGGUGAUAGUAAAAAGACUCAGGGUUUGUGAAGUUGGUGAGGGAUUUUGCAAAGCUCUUCAAACUGCAUGCAGAACUGUUGACCAGUGAAGAUGGCAAGGUGGACGGCUCAGCAGCCAGGGAUGUGCUGGUGCGCAGGGGCAGUAGCAUGAUGUGCAGGUGUACCCAGCAAUGUUUGGGGUACUCAGGUCCCAAGUGGUGCUUGGAAGAGGUACUCACUUAGUGCUCAAGCCGGCGUGCAGUGGCAUGUUCUUGGCUCACUGUAGCCUCUGCCUCCGCCUCCCAGGUUCAAAGGAUUCCCCUGCCUUAGCCACCGGAGAAGCCGGUGUGGGAUUACAGUGUACCUUGAAAACUUUUAUUGAAGAAGGAAUGAAAUAUUGCAUUUUCAAAGACGGCCCUCACUGGGUGCCGGAGAUCCACUAGAAUACAAGAUCUGUUUCUGUGUCUUUGAGGGACAUGUAUCCAGCAAUUAGUUACAUCAGUCCCUUGUAGAUGUCAAUUCCAGUGUCACAAAUUUCUUGUUUUGCAACGUUGAGCAAGUUUUUUUCAAUGUUUCUAAGCCUCAGUUUUUUGCCCUACAAAAUGUGGUAAUAAUAUUUAACCAUUAGUAAUGUUGUGAAAAUUAAGCAAAAAUACAUGUAAUAUAUUUAACAAUGCUUGGUGUUCGUUAAUGCUUUAAUAUAUGCUAACUACUUAUAUUAUUGUUGUUGUUGUGUUAAACAUGCAUAAGACAGCAGGUACUAGAAUGGAAAUAAGGGUUCUUACUUGAAAUUAAAUGGCAGAAUUUCAUACUGUAAUAGGAUGUAUCAAUUUACCUGGUAUUAAUUAUUGUUAAAAUACUGGAUUUUUGUCAAUUAUUAUUAGUCUUUGACGCAUUUCUGUAGCUAGCAUUGUCCUUUGUAUGUGUUGGCCUUUGCAUAUUUUUCCAAAGAAGUAUUAUAUACUUUUGGGGUUUCUUAUUUUGAAUUGAAGAAUAUGCCAAGAUUGCAUAAAAGGAAAAAUAAUACACUAUGUUCAAUAGGUCAAUGUCUUGUUUUUUUUUCACAGCA
rnacentral:lncRNA from 1 species